GCUGAUUGGCGGGAUCCC
rnacentral:snRNA from 1 species